rnacentral:ncRNA from 1 species
AGUCGGGGAGCCUUAAAGGCUGAGAUUGAUUAAAUUCAAGACCCGUUGAACCUGAUCCAGUUAGCACUGGCGUAGGGAACUAUAGGUCU